ensembl:lncRNA
CCCCCAUUUAAGCGAAAAUCUCGCGUUUUCUCUUUGAGAAUCGUCAAUUUAAGUGAAAAUCAAGCGUUUUCUCUUUGAGAAUCCCCCAUUUAAGCGAAAAUCACAAAUUUUCUCUUCUCAAAUACCCCAUUUAAGCGAAAAUCACGCAUUUUCUCUUCGAGAAUCCACCAUUUAUGCGAAAAUCACGCGUUUUCUCUUCGCAAAUCCCCCAUUUAUGUGGAAAACACAUGUUUUCUCUUCGGAAAUCCCCCAUUUAACCCGAAAAUGGCACAUUUUCAAUUUGCAAAUCCCCCAUUUAAGCGAAAAACACACGUUUUCUCUUCACAAAUCCGCCAUUUAAGCAAAUAUCACGCGUUUUCUCUUCAGGAAUCUUCCAUUUAACCCGAAAAUCACUCGUUUUCUCUUCGCAAAUCCCCCAUUUAAGCAAAAAACACGCAUUUUCUCUUCACAAAUCCGCCGUUUAAGCAAAAAUCAUGCAUUUUCUCUUCAGGAAUCUUCCAUUUAACACGAAAAUCACGCGUUUUCUUUUCAGAAAUCCCCCAUUUAAGCGAAAAACACGCGUUUUCUCUUCGAGAAUCCAACAUCUAAAGAAAAUCACGCGUUUUCUCAAAUCCCACAUUUAUGCGAAAAUCACGUUUUCUCUUUGAGAAUCCAACAUUUAACGCAAAAUGCGCGUAUUCUCUUUGCAAGUCCCCCAUUUAACCAGAAAAACACGCGUUUUCUCUUCGAAAUCCCCCCAUUUAAGCGAAAAUCACGCGUUUUCUCUUCGCAAAUCCCCCAUUUAACACAAAAAAACACGAGUUUUCUCUUCAGAAAUCCCACAUUUAAGCGAAAAUCACACGUUUUCCCAUCGCAAAACCCCCAUUUAAGCGAAAAUCUCGCGUUUUCUCUUUGAGAAUCGUCAAUUUAAGUGAAAAUCAAGCGUUUUCUCUUUGAGAAUCCCCCAUUUAAGCGAAAAUCACAAAUUUUCUCUUCUCAAAUCCCCCAUUUAAGCGAAAAUCAC